GACGAACGCUGGCGGCGUGCUUAACACAUGCAAGUCGAACGGUGAAGCGCUUUCCUUUUGGUGGGUGGGGAAGAGGGGCGCAAGGGUGAGUUACAAGGGAGGUAACCUCCCCCUUCUUCCUGAAUAACGGAAGAAAAUUUGGCCUAUUACGGAAAAUCCGGGGCCGGUGGAUGAAGGGUUUUGGGAAGAUAUUGGUUCGGUGGGGGGUGGGCCCGCGGUCUUUUAGGUUGGUGGUGGGGUGAUGGCCUACCAAGGCGGUGACGGGUAGCCGGCCUGAGAGGGUGGACGGUCACACUGGGACUGAGACACGGCCCAGACUCCUACGGGAGGCAGCAGUGGGGAAUAGUGCACGAUGGGAGCAAGCCUGAUGCAGCGACGCCGCGUGAGGGAUGGAGGCCUUCGGGUUGUGAACCUCUUUCGCCAGUGAAGCAGGCCUGCCUCGUUUGUGGGUGGGUUGACGGUAGCUGGAUAAGAAGCGCCGGCUAACUACGUG
rnacentral:rRNA from 1 species